rnacentral:rRNA from 1 species
GAUGAACGCUGGCGGCAGGCUUAAUACAUGCAAGUCGAACGGUAACAUGUCGGAGCAAUCUGAUGAUGACGAGUGGCGCACGGGUGCGUAACGCGUAUGCAACCUACCCAUAACCGGAACAAAACGUUGAGAAAUUGGCGCUAAUAUUCCAUGUGUAUUUUCUAUGGCAUCAUAAAAAAUAUAAAGAACUUUGGUUAUAGAUGGGCAUGCGUAUCAUUAGCUAGUUGGGGAGGUAACGGCUCACCAAGGCGACGAUGAUUAGGGGUUCUGAGAGGAAAAACCCCCACACUGGAACUGAGACACGGUCCAGACUCCUACGGGAGGCAGCAGUAGGGAAUAUUGGGCAAUGGAAGGAAUUCUGACCCAGCCAUGCCGCGUGCAGGAAUACAGUCCUAUGGACUUUAAACUGCUUUUAUUAUAGAGUAACCUGGGGGACGCGUCCCCCACUGCAAGUAUAUAAUGAAUAAGCAUCGGCUAACUCCGUG